CCUCAAAUAAUGCAAAAAUCAAUAUUUGGUGGAAUAAUCCUGUUUUUUAAUCACAGUUUUGUUCAUGCAUCUUGGCAUCAUGUUCUCCUCCACCAGUCUUACACACUGCUUUUGGAUAACUUUAUGCUUUACACUCCUGGUGUAAAAUUCAAGCAGUUCAGUUUGGUGGUUUGAUGGUUUGUGAUCAUCCAUCUUCCUCUUGAUUAUAUUCCAGAAGUUUAUAAUUCAGUAAAAUCAAAGAAACUCAUCAUUUUUAAGUGCUCUCUUAUUUUUUUUCUAGAGCUGUAUCAAUGACCCUCUGUAAAGACAUGAGGAAGGUCUAAAUACAGUUAUAUGUAGCCAGUUAGCGUAUUUGCUAAUUACUAACUCUAACUCUGGAGUGUUUAACAUCCAUUCUCUCUUUUUUGUUUUUAACUUUGUUUAUAUGGACAAAAAUAAGAUAUAAAACAUCUCGGUUCACAUAUGGACAGAAAAAAUAUCUAUUAUAGAAUUGUGGCAAACCAUGGAUUUAAAAGUAUCACUUAAAUCUUCAAGUUAGAGCUGGACAAUUUGAACAAAACAAAAGUUACAGAAACAGUGUCUAUAAUGAAUGUCUUUACCUACAAACGUUUCAUGUAAUGCACCCUGUAAGGAACAUCAUUCAGUAAUAUAAACUGUAAAUUACCUUAUUAUUAUAGUAUAGUAUAGUAGAAUAUAUACUAUAUAUUGUAUAGAUUACUGUUUAUACUGUGUAUAUAUACAGUACCAAUAAAAAGUAAAAUGUUCUGUAUUGUAGAUUAAUACUACACUCAUCCAAACUCUAAAGAAAGACAUAUGGAAUUAUUUAGAAUAUGUUUUAUAUUGUUUAGAUGAUCAGUUUUGAACAUCUCUGCUGGAUUUUCUCAGUCAGUUUUAUGAGGUAGAGUCCAGGCUUUCAGUUAACAGCUGUGCUGAACUCAUCAAGAGUUAAUUACUUGAAUUUCUUGUCUCUUAAUAAAGUGUUUGAGAGCAUCAGUUAAAGUAAAGUAGUGAAGAGGUAGAGUUACAGGUAUACAGUGAAUUCUAAUCCAGAUUAUAAGAAGCAAGAACUACUCAACUAAGUAAAGAAAAAAAAUACUUAAAGAAAGAAUUUCAAGAACUUUUAUCCUCAAGUGCAGUCACAAUAAAGGCAACCCUACUCCAGGAAAUUUAAACUUAAUCCCAGAAAGGUCACCAUUUCUAAUCUUCGUCCAAAAGCACAUCAAUAUUGAUCGUCUGCUGUGUUUUAGAAGAGGCAGAAAAGGUUUUAACUGGAGUUGAAGUAGAUUCAGAGUUUCGUUAUUCUGAUAAUCCCAUGACCUGGCAAGGUUUUUGGUUUUUCACACUCCACCUUUGCCUUUCAUUUCCCUUUUCUGCUUUUAAAAGGCAGGAGUUCAGUGUUAUUUAGCACUCAAAACAGCUCACAGCAGCUUUAGUAAAAUAUCCUAUAUACUGAUAGAAAGCACCCAUAAAUGCUAGACUAGUACUGUCUGUGUGUUUAUUAUAUUAAAGGUGAGGUGCUAGACUAGUACUGUCUGUGUUUAUUAUUAUUAUUAUAUUAAAGGUGAGGUGCUAGACUAGUACUGUCUGUGUGUUUAUUAUGUUAAAGGUGAGGUGCUAGACUAGUACUGUCUGUGUGUUUAUUAUUAUAUUAAAGGUGAGGUGCUAGUCUAGUACUGUCUGUGUUUAUUAUGUUAAAGGUGAGGUGCUAGACUAGUACUGUGUGUGUGUGUUUAUUAUUAUAUUAAAGGUGAGGUGCUAGACUAGUACUGUCUGUGUUUAUUAUUAUUAUAUUAAAGGUGAGGUGCUAGACUAGUACUGUCUGUGUGUUUAUUAUAUUAAAGGUGAGGUGCUAGACUAGUACUGUCUGUGUGUUUAUUAUAUUAAAGGGGAGGUGCUAGACUAGUACUGUCUGUGUGUUUAUUAUUAUAUUAAAGGUGAGGUGCUAGACUAGUACUGUCUGUGUGUUUAUUAUAUUAAAGGGGAGGUGCUAGACUAGUACUGUGUGUGUUUAUUAUUAUAUUAAAGGUGAGGUGCUAGACUAGUACUGUCUGUGUGUUUAUUAUAUUAAAGGGGAGGUGCUAGACUAGUACUGUCUGUGUUUAUAUUGAAGCUGAGGUGCUCAACUAGUACUGUCUGUGUUUAUAUUGAAGCUGAGGUGCUCGACUAGUAUUGUGUGUGUGUGUGUUUGUUAUUAUAUUAAAGGUGAGGUGCUAGACUAGUACUGUCUGUGUGUUUAUUAUAUUAAAGGUGAGGUGCUAGACUAGUACUGUGUGUGUGUUUAUUAUAUUAAAGGGGAGGUGCUAGACUAGUACUGUCUGUGUUUAUAUUGAAGCUGAGGUGCUCGACUAGUACUGUCUGUGUUUAUUAUGUUAAAGGUGAGGUGCUAGACUAGUAUUGUGUG